AGCCUCACGGACGAGAGGCGCAUGGGGAAACGUGAAUUCGUUCGUGCCCCCGUUGCGAUAACGGAACGCGAUGUUCAGGAGUCCGCCAGCGGUACGACUGACGCCGGUGACCUCGACGAUCAAGCCCUCCGACUCUCCCUCUUGACUUCCAAUCGCUG
rnacentral:misc_RNA from 1 species